AGUGAACGCUGGCGGUAGGCCUAACACAUGCAAGUCGAACGGCAGCACAGUAAGAGCUUGCUCUUACGGGUGGCGAGUGGCGGACGGGUGAGGAAUACAUCGGAAUCUACUUUUUCGUGGGGGAUAACGUAGGGAAACUUACGCUAAUACCGCAUACGACCUACGGGUGAAAGCAGGGGAUCUUCGGACCUUGCGCGAUUGAAUGAGCCGAUGUCGGAUUAGCUAGUUGGCGGGGUAAAGGCCCACCAAGGCGACGAUCCGUAGCUGGUCUGAGAGGAUGAUCAGCCACACUGGAACUGAGACACGGCCCAGACUCCUACGGGAGGCAGCAGUGGGGAAUAUUGGACAAUGGGCGCAAGCCUGAUCCAGCCAUACCGCGUGGGUGAAGAAGGCCUGCGGGUUGUAAAGCCCUUUUGUUGGGAAAGAAAAGCAGCAGGUUAAUACCCCGCUGUUCGGACGGGACCCAAAGAAUAAGCACCGGCGAACUUCGG
rnacentral:rRNA from 1 species